UUGUGUGUUUCAGGGGUGGUCAGUGUGUGCAUGUGGUAGUUAGUGUGUAUGUCAGAGGUGGUCAGUGUGUGUGUGUCAGGGGUGAUCGUGUGUGAGAAGUGGUUUGUGUGUUUCAGGGGUGGUCGGUAUGGGCAUGUCAGGGGUGAUAGGUGUGUGUGAGGUGGUUAGUGUGUGUGUUUGUCAGGGGUGAUCGUGUGUGAGAGGUGGUUUGUUUGUUUCAGGGGUGGUCGUUAGUGUGUGUGAGAAAGGUGGUUGGUGUUUGUGUGUCAGGGGUGAUCGGUGUGUGAGAAGUGGUUUGUGUGUUUCAAGGGUGGUCAGUGUGUGCGUGUGGUAGUUAGUGUGUGUGAGAGGUGGUUGGUGUGUGUGUGAGAAGGGGUUUGUGUGUUUCAGGGGAGGUCGGUAUGGGCAUGUCAGGGGUGAUAGGUGUGUGUGAGGUGGUUAGUGUGUAUGUCAGAGGUGGUCAGUGUGUGUGUGUGUCAGGGGUGAUCGUGUGUGAGAAGUGGUUUGUGUGUUUCAGGGGUGGUCGGUAUGGGUGUGUCAGGGGUGAUAGGUGUGUGUGAGGUGGUUGGUUUGUAUGUUAGAGGUGGUCAGUGUGUGUGUCAGGGGUGAUCGUGUGUUCGAGGUGGUUUGUGUGUUUCAGGGGUGGUCAGUGUGUG